CUUUUACAAUGAAGAGUUUGAUCCUGGCUCAGGAUGAACGCUAGCUACAGGCUUAACACAUGCAAGUCGAGGGGCAUCAGGAAGAAAGCUUGCUUUCUUUGCUGGCGACCGGCGCACGGGUGAGUAACACGUAUCCAACCUGCCCUUUACUCGGGGAUAGCCUUUCGAAAGAAAGAUUAAUACCCGAUGGCAUAAUGAUUCCGCAUGGUUUCAUUAUUAAAGGAUUCCGGUAAAGGAUGGGGAUGCGUUCCAUUAGGUUGUUGGUGAGGUAACGGCUCACCAAGCCUUCGAUGGAUAGGGGUUCUGAGAGGAAGGUCCCCCACAUUGGAACUGAGACACGGUCCAAACUCCUACGGGAGGCAGCAGUGAGGAAUAUUGGUCAAUGGGCGCUAGCCUGAACCAGCCAAGUAGCGUGAAGGAUGAAGGCUCUAUGGGUCGUAAACUUCUUUUAUAUAAGAAUAAAGUGCAGUAUGUAUACUGUUUUGUAUGUAUUAUAUGAAUAAGGAUCGGCUAACUCCGUGCCAGCAGCCGCGGUAAUACGGAGGAUCCGAGCGUUAUCCGGAUUUAUUGGGUUUAAAGGGA
rnacentral:rRNA from 1 species